rnacentral:rRNA from 1 species
ACGAACGCUGGCGGCGUGCUUAACACCUGCAAGUCGCACGGAAAGGCCCUGCUUUUGUGGGGUGCUCGUGUGGCGAACGGGUGAGUAACACGUGAGUAACCUGCCCUUGACUUUGGGAUAACUUCAGGAAACUGGGGCUAAUACCGGAUAGGAGCUCCUGCUGCAUGGUGGGGGUUGGAAAGUUUCGGCGGUUGGGGAUGGACUCGCGGCUUAUCAGCUUGUUGGUGGGGUAGUGGCUUACCAAGGCUUUGACGGGUAGCCGGCCUGAGAGGGUGACCGGCCACAUUGGGACUGAGAUACGGCCCAGACUCCUACGGGAGGCAGCAGUGGGGAAUAUUGCACAAUGGGCGGAAGCCUGAUGCAGCAACGCCGCGUGCGGGAUGACGGCCUUCGGGUUGUAAACCGCUUUCGCCUGUGACGAAGCGUGAGUGACGGUAAUGGGUAAAGAAGCACCGGCUAACUACGUG